UACGUAGGGUGCGAGCGUUGUCCGGAAUUAUUGGGCGUAAAGAGCUCGUAGGCGGUCUGUCGCGUCUGCUGUGAAAACCCGAGGCUCAACCUCGGGCCUGCAGUGGGUACGGGCAGACUAGAGUGCGGUAGGGGAGAAUGGAAUUCCUGGUGUAGCGGUGGAAUGCGCAGAUAUCAGGAGGAACACCGAUGGUGAAGGCAGUUCUCUGGGCCGUAACUGACGCUGAGGAGCGAAAGCGUGGGGAGCGAACAGG
rnacentral:rRNA from 1 species